rnacentral:rRNA from 1 species
UGAGGAAUAUUGGACAAUGGAUGGAAAUCUGAUCCAGCCAUGCCGCGUGCAGGAUGAAGGCCCUCGGGUUGUAAAGCCCUGCGGGGAGAGACGAAUAAGUCGUGGCGAAUAGCCCCGAUGAUGACGGUAUCUCCUUAGCAAGCACCGGCUAACUCUGUGCCAGCAGCCGCGGUAAUACGUAGGGUGCGAGCGUUAAUCGGAAUUACUGGGCGUAAAGCGCACGCAGGCGGUUGGAUAAGUCAGAUGUGAAAGCCCCGGGCUCAACCUGGGAACUGCAUUUGAAACUGUUCGACUAGAGUCUUGUAGAGGGGGGUAGAAUUCCAGGCGUAGCGGUGAAAUGCGUAGAGAUGUGGAGGAAUACCGAUGGCGAAGGCAGCCCCCUGGGUUACUACUGACGCUC